rnacentral:rRNA from 1 species
UCGCGAAUCAUUCACAAUGGACGCAAGUCUGAUGAUGCCACGCCGCGUGCGGGAUGAAGGCCCUUUGGGUUGUAAACCGCUGUCAAGGGAGGGGAAACACCUAGUGUUAACAGCGCUAGGCUUGACUGCUCCCUAAAGGAAGCCCCGGCAAAACAUGUGCCAGCAGCCGCGGUAAUACAUGUGGGGGCAAGCGUCGUUCGGAAUUACUGGGCAUAAAGGGUGCGUAGGCGGUUUGUUAAGUCACUGGUGAAAGUUUGCGGCCCAACCGUAAAAUUGCCUGUGAUACUGGCGAACUUGAGUGCGUGAGGGUAGGGGAACGAGCAGUGUAGCGGUGAAAUGCGUAGAUAUUGCUCGGAAGGCCGGAGCCGAAGGGGCCCUACUGGUACGUAACUGACGCUGAGGCACGAAAGCGUGGGGAGCAAACAGGAUUAGAUACCCCUGUAGUCCCUGAGCGGGCUGGCAAGGCGCAU